CCUCCAUCCCACCCAGCGUUCCUUUACCUUUGCCUUAAACCAGGAGAGAAGGGGAGGAGACGUGGGGGGGGGGGGGAGAGAGACACGCCAGAGGGCGGGGUCCACUUCAGAACAGGAGGAGGAAAAAACAGGUUAAAAAUUAAUGCAAAGCAGAUCAAUGGCAAUUAGGAUGUUCUCUUAUUCUGUUAUAUAAUGAUAUUUAAAAUGCUUCAUCAAGAUGACAAUGGAUAUUAUCGCUGGUUCCAACUUGGUUUUGAAGCAAUCAUCCAAAGAAAGCAUACAGGAAUGAAUCUGUUAUUGGAAAUCAUGCGGGGUCCUUGAUGCUUUGUGGUUGCUUUCUUGCAGAUGUUUCAUUACCCAAACUAGGUAACUCAUCAGUGCUAGGUCCCUGAUUUCAAAUUUGAGCUACAAAUCUCUCCUUUUUGUUUUUUGGAAGGAGCAAGAUAUUAUGAUAUCUCCUACUUUGUUCUUUGCUUGCCAAAUCAUAAACAGUAAAAUAUGAGCCUCAGUUAAAAAAAAAAAUACAACUUGGAACAGCAGGGAUAUUUCUAAGCAUUCUGUGCCUCUCCAAAAAGCCAGCAUCUAAAUCAGCAUUGUGGUAUAUGGUCAUUGUUAUUGACCUGUUCUCCUGUUUGUAUGGAUUUUAUUUUUAUUUUUUUAAAAAAAUGUUUUCCUAUUGCGAAGAAAGCAAGUAAUAAAUUUGUUGGCCUUUGCAAGGUAGUCCAUACAAGAAACAACUCAGAAGUUGUUUCUGAGUUCUAGUUCUAACUUUAUUGUAAGGUUGCGUUAAUAGAUUCUUGCAAGUUUGGAAAUCCAUUUAUCUCCCCCACCCUCGUCUUUACAGUCCAGAAAAUCAGGGAGGGUACCUUUUGAUACAUUUGCCAUCACCCCCACCUUCCUUCUGCAGACUCAGUUGUUGCUCAUCUGACUGUUGUCUAGUCUGAGGCUCUUCCUCUUUCCUCCUGAGAUCAUCUCCACACACUAUUACAAAAUGAUCUCAAAUCCUUCCAGAGUUUAUAUUCUAAACUGCUAGAAAAUAUUAAUAUUUUAUAAAUUAAUUAUACAUAUAAGGAGUACCCCCAGCCGAAAGGUAUGUUUUAAACGUUGCUGAACUCUGAUCUACACAGAAGCUAUGUAUGUACUGGUAGCUGUGAGCUACAUUAGACAUUUCAACAUCAUUAAAACAUCCUGCCUGUUUGGACGGAGGAUAAUUCUAGACAUUUUAAUAAGAAAAUUCAGUUAUUCAGACUGAAACAAAGACUUCUUA